rnacentral:rRNA from 1 species
CACGUAGGGGGCGAGCGUUGUUCGGAUUUACUGGGCGUAAAGGGCACGUAGGCGGUUCUGUAAGCCUGACGUGAAAGGCUAUGGCUCAACCAUGGCACUGCGUUGGGAACUGCGGGACUUGAAUCAUGGAGAGGGAGCUGGAAUUCCAGGUGUAGGGGUGAAAUCUGUAGAUAUCUGGAAGAACACCAAUGGCGAAGGCAAGCUCCUGGCCACUGAUUGACGCUGAGGUGCGAAAGUGUGGGGAUCAAACAGG